rnacentral:rRNA from 1 species
GUGCCUAAUACAUGCAAGUCGAACGCUUCUUUCCUCCCGAGUGCUUGCACUCAACUGGAAAGAGGAGUGGCGGACGGGUGAGUAACACGUGGGUAACCUACCCAUCAGAGGGGGAUAACACUUGGAAACAGGUGCUAAUACCGCAUAACAGUUUAUGCCGCAUGGCAUAAGAGUGAAAGGCGCUUUCGGGUGUCGCUGAUGGAUGGACCCGCGGUGCAUUAGCCAGUUGGUGAGGUAACGGCUCACCAAGGCCACGAUGCAUAGCCGACCUGAGAGGGUGAUCGGCCACACUGGGACUGAGACACGGCCCAGACUCCUACGGGAGGCAGCAGUAGGGAAUCUUCGGCAAUGGACGAAAGUCUGACCGAGCAACGCCGCGUGAGUGAAGAAGGUUUUCGGAUCGUAAAACUCUGUUGUUAGAGAAGAACAAGGACGUUAGUAACUGAACGUCCCCUGACGGUAUCUAACCAGAAAGCCACGGCUAACUACGUGCCAGCAGCCGCGGUAAUACGUAGGUGGCAAGCGUUGUCCGGAUUUAUUGGGCGUAAAGCGAGCGCAGGCGGUUUCUUAAGUCUGAUGUGAAAGCCCCCGGCUCAACCGGGGAGGGUCAUUGGAAACUGGGAGACUUGAGUGCAGAAGAGGAGAGUGGAAUUCCAUGUGUAGCGGUGAAAUGCGUAGAUAUAUGGAGGAACACCAGUGGCGAAGGCGGCUCUCUGGU